rnacentral:tRNA from 1 species
GAGGUGUUAGUAAAACUAUUACCUGGCCUUGUCGAGACCAAAUUACUGGUGAAACCCCAGUACACCUCA